rnacentral:rRNA from 1 species
UUGAGCAGUGAGGAAUAUUGGUCAAUAGCCUAACGGCUGAACCAGCAACUUGGAGGAAUGUAAGCGAAUAGCGCGUAAAGUUCUAAAUAAGUUAUGAUAAUGACAUUCCUUAUUUAUUUGUCUAGACCAAAUCACGUGCCAGCAGUCGCGGUAAUACGUGGAAGACUAGUGUUAUUCAUCUUUAAUUGGUUUAAAGGGUACCUAGACGGUAAUUAAGCCUUAGAGGGUACUAAUUUACUAGAGUUUUAUAUAAGCGAGAUAGCGUACCUAUAUAGUGUAAAGAUGAAAUUUUGUUAUACAAUUUGUAACGGGUAAAGGCGAAAGCGACCUGCUAUGUUAAAACUGACGUUGAAGGACGAAGGAA